UAGCUCUGGCACAAGUUCCUCAUCCUUAGUUGUUUGAUGAGCCU
rnacentral:sRNA from 1 species